ACGUUAUCACGAAAGGCAGAGGGACUAGACCCAAUGAAGCCUUGGCAACCCUACUCUCGUAGAAGGUGCUACAUUCUACCACUGAUUGUGGACAGAUAACAA
rnacentral:ncRNA from 2 species